rnacentral:rRNA from 1 species
CUGGCUCAGAACGAACGCUGGUGGCGUGUCUUAUACAUGCAAGUCGAGCGAGGCAGCAAUGCCGAGCGGCGAACGGGUGAGUAACGCGUAAGCAAUCUGCCCCAUAUCAGGAAAUACCCGUGCCAACGCGCGGUUAAUGUCCAGGAGAGUGGCCCCCUGCAUGGAGGGUUGACUAGAGAUUUAUCGGUAUGGGAUGAGCUUGCGUCCGAUUAGCUAGUUGGCGGGGCAACGGCCCACCAAGGCGACGAUCGGUAGCCGGCCUGAGAGGGUGAUCGGCCACAUUGGGACUGAGAUACGGCCCAGACUCCUACGGGAGGCAGCAGUAGGGAAUAUUGCACAAUGGGGGAAACCCUGAUGCAGCAACGCCACGUGUGGGAAGAAGCAUUUCGGUGUGUAAACCACUGUCAUGAGGGAAUAAGGCCCGCCUUCGGACGGGAUUGAAUGUACCUUGAGAGGAAGCACCGGCAAACUUCGUGCCAGCAGCCGC